AAUCAAGCAGUCUCUCACGUUGGAUAUGGCCAGAUUAAAAAGAAAAAAAAAUCCCCUCCUCUCUCUCAUGCCCGAUGGCCUGAUGCACGAUGGCGUUCCGGCUCCUCCGUCCGGGGCCCCUCCCUCUCCAGGCUCCUCCGUCCGGUGGCGGCGCACUGCACUCCCAUCUGGCGAUGCCCCCAUCCAUCCCGGUGGCUAGCCUCCCACGCCACAAUGUCGCCUCCCAUCCUGGAUGUUGCAUGGCAGAGGGCCGUGAGGUCCCAGCCCCAAGCAGCAGGGUCCUCCUCCAACUCCGGCGCAUGUCACCCAGCAGGCUCUCGUCGAACUCCGGCGCCCAGCAGGCCAUCCUUGAACUCUGGCGUACGUCGCCUAGUAGGGCCUUCUCAGAUCCCGUCGGCAGAAAGCCUGGCUCGCUCAGAUCUGGUCGGCAAGUAGGAGGAGCUUCGAGCGGGAUGAGGAGCACCAGAUGAAAAACGAGCAGAUCGAGCAGGAUGAAGAGCGAGUAGAUUGACAAGUAGUGGAUGGGGGCGGUUCCUCCUCUCCUAGCCCACGUAACAAGCUCCGAUGGCACAUCUUGGGCAGCACGCGACCUCCAAUGAACUACUUGAGUGUCCAUGGCAGGAGCUUCACUAGGCAGCUACAGAGGGUGCUCAACAUUUUCCUUUCGACUGUAUUGUUCCAUCUGAUGCAACUCUAUUGGAUACUUAGGAUCGGACAUUUAUAUUUCAAGUUGAUUGAAAUUCUAUUGGAUAAUGUGUAAGAUCGAACAUUUAUACUGUUGGAGCAGCUAUAUGUGCACUUCGUCUAGACAAUUCUAUACAUUGUUGGAGCAUGCUUUUAUGCAUUGUUACAAUAUUGUGAUAUAUGCUGUUGGAACAAUUAUUCGUAUAGUGGUUCCAGCAGUGGAUAUAUUUGAAUUCCAGCAGUGGAUACAAAGAUCCACGUUUAUGGUUCGUGCAUAAUUCAUCUUCAUUGUUUUGUUUGUAGAUUUUGAGUUAUUAUGCUUGAGUGCAUAAGUUUCUAUGCAUGGUUAAACUAUAGCUUGGUAUGUAUUCCAUAUAUUUUUACAACAAAUUAGCCUAUAUUUUUGGAGCAGUUAACUAUACACUUCUACAGCUAUAUACAUAGUUGGAGCACCUUUUUUAUGCAAUGUUGAUGCUUCUAUUUACAGAAAAAAAUUGUUUUUGUGCUUGCAUAUAUGAGUUUCUAUGCAUAGUAAUUAUGUUUUGGCAAUCUGACUAAAUAAAUUUCUAUGUAUUAUUAGAGCACAUUUCUAUACAUUAUCUAAGCACAUUAUUUGACCUGAGUAGAAUAAAAAUUUGUAUCAUUCAUUAUCCAGACCAAGGAGGCCAUCGCCACGGUCCUUAAGGAUGUCCUCCUCAAUGACAACAACGCUGAGGAUCAAUUCAACAACUGUAGCAAGGCACUGCGUCCAGGUCAUUGUCGUGAAGCAAUCUUUCACUGCAUAUCACUAGUUAUUCAUUCUUCUUUUUAUAUAUUAUUAGAACAAAUUUCUACUUUAUAAUUUAGCUAUAUCAGAGCCCUUGUGAUGAAAUAUUUUUAGCUAUAUCAGGCACUGCAUCUCUAGUUCCUAGCUUUAGCCUAGUUAGAUUAUAAGUAUAAUAGUUCUAGUUCUUCAGCGGGAUCUGGAGCCCCUGGCGUCUGUGGAGCGUGGAGUUCGGUAUAGUUCUAGUACAUUUCUCUUAUUGUAUUCAAUAUUAUGAUUCCGACAACAUUGUUCUAGAGAUGCUCUAAUGAUUGUUCUAGAGAUGCUCUGAUGAUUUCUCUUAU